rnacentral:lncRNA from 1 species
CCAGAACCCCAGCUUCCAGUGGAAGGGAGAAGAACCCUGGCUGACAUCCCCAGGAUUGGCGUGGUCAGCGGGAUCUGAAGCAGAACUCCAGUGAUUGCCAGGGGCACUGGGUAACCAGGUAUAGUUACCUGCACUGUGCUUAUUUUUUCCUUGCUGCAUCUGGGGCUCAUGAGUAAGUUCUCUCUUGGAUUCCAAAGCUCCACAGAUUUGUGCUUUGAGCUAUCUUUGAGCAAAGUUUUGAUCUGGACUAGAUUUGGAAGUUGAUUCUAGAAUCAUGAAUAAAGGAUCUUUCUUUUUGCCUUGAGCCCAAAUCCGAGGUUAAUUUGUGCUAUGAGAGAGCACGUGAACUUGAGCUGGGUACCAAGGAUUAUCUUGUGCUGUAAGAAGGCAUAUAACCUUUGGGGUUUGCAGUGUCUAGAUCAGACAGAAACUGG